AUAAGAGGUCCCGCCUGCCCGGUGACUAUUAGUUUAACGGCCGCGGUAUUUUGACCGUGCAAAGGUAGCGCAAUCACUUGUCCUUUAAAUGAAGACCUGUAUGAAUGGCACCACGAGGGCUCAACUGUCUCCUUUCUCCUGUCAAUGAAAUUGAUCUCCCCGUGCAGAAGCGGGGAUUUCCCCAUAAGACGAGAAGACCCUAUGGAGCUUUAGGCACCAGAACAGACUGUGUUAAGCACCCUGACACAAAAGACAAAACUAACUAGGCCCUGUUCCAAUGCCUUUGGUUGGGGCGACCGCGGGGAAACAAAAAACCCCCAUGUGGACUAAGAGCACCCUUCACUCUUACAACCAAGGGCCACAGCCCUAAGUAACAGAACCUCUGACCAUAAAUGAUCCGGUAUGACCGAUCAACGAACCGAGUUACCCUAGGGAUAACAGCGCAAUCCCCUUCUAGAGUCCAUAUCGACAAGGGGGUUUACGACCUCGAUGUUGGAUCAGGACAUCCUAUUGGUGCAGCCGCUAUUAAGGGUUCGUUUGUUCAACGAUU
rnacentral:rRNA from 1 species